GGGAGCCUACGGGAGGCAGCAGUGAGGAAUAUUGGUCAAUGGCCGGAAGGCUGAACCAGCCAAGUCGCGUGAGGGAAUAAGGCCCUAUGGGUCGUAAACCUCUUUUGUCAGGGAACAAAGGCGGGGACGUGUCCCCGGAUGAGUGUACCUGAAGAAAAAGCAUCGGCUAACUCCGUGCCAGCAGCCGCGGUAAUACGGAGGAUGCGAACGUUAUCCGGAUUUAUUGGGGUUAAAGGGUGCGCAGGCGGUCUGUUAAGUCAGCGGUCAAAACCCGGGGCUCAACCCCCGCCCGCCGUUGAAACAGG
rnacentral:rRNA from 1 species